rnacentral:lncRNA from 1 species
AGCUUUUAACGAUUUGGACCAUCCUAUAGGCUCUGGACCAUGGUCCGUGUGAAUGGAAAACUGAUUGGCCUCGCUAGUCACAACAUGUUGUUGGGCUUCAUGCCCAGCCCAAUUUCCUCUUAUCUUCGACUUUUAGCCUUUUCUUAAAAUUAACCGGAUCUCUAUGGAUAAUCGAGGUGAGCCAUAAUUAGAUAACUCACAGUGUAUAGCCCUCAC